AACUCUCAACCCCCUUGUUUUGUAAUGAAACGAGUGUGGGAUUGGAUUAUGGCUGCUGCCGGCGUAAUUGUCGACUCGGCUGAAAUUCACGAGCGACCCAUUUCUAAGAAACAGACGGUUUGACUCGGCGUAAUAAACAUAUUUCGCUGAGGACGUCACAUUCUUAAACAUUAGUGGUGCUUCUAAUGCGACAUCUAAACCUGUGC
rnacentral:misc_RNA from 1 species